rnacentral:rRNA from 1 species
UACGGAGGAUCCGAGCGUUAUCCGGAUUUAUUGGGUUUAAAGGGAGCGUAGGCGGGUUGUUAAGUCAGUUGUGAAAGUUUGCGGCUCAACCGUAAAAUUGCAGUUGAUACUGGCGAUCUUGAGUGCAACAGAGGUAGGCGGAAUUCGUGGUGUAGCGGUGAAAUGCUUAGAUAUCACGAAGAACUCCGAUUGCGAAGGCAGCUUACUGGAUUGUAACUGACGCUGAUGCUCGAAAGUGUGGGUAUCAAACAGG